AUUAAACCGUUGAAGAGACUAGUAGCAAUUUAUUAGCAUUAAAGAGAGUCAGUGGGUGGUGCAAGCUGAUAUGUUAAACUUUGUGAAUCCAACUUGAAGGGACUGUGAUGAGCAGUACGGUAAUUACCGUUAUUAUAAUUAAGAGGAAUAAUAUUUUUUUGAAUAUUAUUCAAUUUAGGGUGGCAACGCGGAGUCUUUCGUCCCUUUU
rnacentral:ncRNA from 1 species